CCUACGGGAGGCAGCAGUGGGGGAUAUUGCACAAUGGGGGAAACCCUGAUGCAGCGACGCCGCGUGUGGGAAGACGGUCCUCUGGAUUGUAAACCACUGUCCCCAGGGACGAAGAUGACGGUACCUGGGGAGGAAGCUCCGGCUAACUACGUGCCAGCAGCCGCGGUAAUACGUAGGGAGCGAGCGUUGUCCGGAAUUACUGGGUGUAAGGGGAGCGUAGGCGGGACUGCAAGUUGGGUGUCAAAUCUACCGGCUCAACCGGUAGCCGCACUCAAAACUGCAGUUCUUGAGUGAAGUAGAGGCAGGCGGAAUUCCUAGUGUAGCGGUGAAAUACGUAGAUAUUAGGAGGAACACCAGUGGCGAAGGCGGCCUGCUGGGCUUUUACUGACGCUGAGGCUCGAAAGUGUGGGGAGCAAACAGGAUUAGAUACCCCUGUAGUC
rnacentral:rRNA from 1 species